GAGACACGCUGGCGGGCGUGGAUUAGGCAUGCAAGUCGAACGGUAUCAUCCUUUCGGGGGUGAGAGAGUGGCGAACUGGUGAAGUAACACGUAGGUUAUCUACCCUCAAGACGGGACAACCCAGGGAAACUUGGGCUAAUACCGGAUGUGAGCAACUUUUAGUUGUUUGAAAGGUGGCGUAAGCUGUCGCUUGGGGAUGAGCCUGCGUCCUAUUAGUUAGUUGGUGAGGUAACGGCUCACCUAGGCAAUGAUAGGUAGGCGGCCUUAACGGGUGGUCGCCCACACUGGGAUUGAGAUACGGCCCAGACUCCUACGGGAGGCAGCAGUCGAGAAUAGUCUACAAUGGUCGGAAGACUGAUAGUGCGACGCCGCGUGAACGAUGAAUCCCUUCGGGGUGUAAAGUUCUUUUAUAUGUGAGCAGUGCUUCUUAUAUUAACAGUAUGGGGAGAGAGAUAUUAGCAUAUGAAUAAGCAACGGCUAACUCCGUG
rnacentral:rRNA from 1 species